AUGCCGUGGUGUGGGCAUGCUUGGAUGUACUCCUGGAUACGCUCCCAGACUUCUGGGAUGGUCUCAUCCAGUAGUUGCUGAAUACCGGAGAUCCUGUUCCAAAGGGC